rnacentral:rRNA from 1 species
CCCUUAGAUGUUCUGGGCCGCACGCGCGCUACACUGAUGCAUUCAACGAGCCUAUCCUUGACCGACAGGUCCGGGUAAUCUUUGAAUCUGCAUCGUGACGGGGAUAGAUUAUUGCAAUUAUUAAUCUUCAACGAGGAAUGCCUAGUAGGCGCAAGUUAUCAGCUUGCGUCGAUUACGUCCCUGCCCUUUGUACACACCGCCCGUCGCUCCUACCGAUUGGGUGUGCUGGUGAAAUGUUCGGAUCGGCCGUUUGUCGCGGUUUCCGCGGCUCGUGGCUGAGAAGUUCAUUAAACCCUCCCACCUAGAGGAAGGAGAAGUCGUAACA